rnacentral:sRNA from 1 species
CAAGAAGACGACGACGAAGAAGAGGAAGAAGAAGAAGACGAUUACAACCACA